CAAACAUUAAAGUCCAUAAUGUUUGACGUUAUGUGUAAUAAAGUGGAAUGACACAGGAAAAGAAGUAUGGAACACACUAAGAAAAAGCAGUUCUCCAAGGCAGCGCAAGGCAAGGAACCAGCUGAAAUCCUGAGCGCCAUUGGGGCCAUUAUCUGCAAGUGGAAGCAACAUCACUCCGUCAUCAACCGGCCACGCACAGGAGCUCCUCGCAAGAUUUCUGACCAGGGAGUCAGAAGAAUAAUCAGAACAGUAGCCCAAGAGCCAAGGAGCACUCGGAAAGAGCUCCAGAAACACCUGGAGGCAGCAGUUGCUGAUGGGCACAUCGUAAUUAUUGACCCUUCUUCAGCAGCACACCCUGCCACAGUCGAAUUGUCUUAGACAUGGACACCAGCUGGCUACUAUACAGAAUUCUCCAGAGACAGCGGCCCACACAGUGGAACCAAAGAAGACGUGGCUCAAGCAAGCUGAAAAACGACCGGAAGGAUAAAAGACUAAACGUGGAAAAGAAAGAAAAAAAAAAAGCCAGCGAUGUCGUCCCUGAUCUCCAAGCAUGGAGUCGUGUUGCCUGAGAUCCAGAGGCACCCAGAGCAACGUACCGUCUCUGAGAUCCCCCUCAUUCAGACCCUAGCUAGUGACCGAAAGACACUAGACAUGCAGGUGCUGAAGGAAAAUAAACAGCACUUGGAAAGAGCUGAAAGCAAGAAAGUUGAAAAAUAAGAGAAAGGUCAAAAGAAAGUUGAAAAGGAAGGGUGUCAGGGUGUUGCAAGGAGGUUGCUAAGGUGUUCCAGGUGGUUGCUGAGGUCCUUCUAUGAGAGGCGUUGCUAUGGGAUUCCAGGCGGAUGUAAAGAUUGUUGCAAGAAGGUGACUAAAGUGAUCCAAGUGGUUGCUAGGCAGUUGUGUGAAUGUGCAAGACAGAAGGAAAGAAAUAAAGAAAGAAAAGGUAAAGUGUAAGAGUCAAAUGAAUGAAUAAAUAC
ensembl:lncRNA